CCUACGGGAGGCAGCAGUGAGGAAUAUUGGUCAAUGGACGAGAGUCUGAAGCAGCGAAGUAGCGUGAGGGAUGAAUGCCCUAUGGGUGUUAAGCUUCUUUUGUAAAGGAGUAAAACGCGGCACGUGUGCCUUUUUGCAUGUACUUUAUGAAUAAGGAUCGGCUAACUCCGUGCCAGCAGCCGCGGUAAUACGGAGGAUCCGAGCGUUAUCCGGAUUUAUUGGGUUUAAGGGGAGCGUAGAUGGGUUGUUAAGUCAGUUGUGAAAGUUUGCGGCUCAACCGUAAAAUUGCAAUUGAUACUGGUAGGCUGGAGUACAGUUGAGGUAGGCGGAAUUCGUGGUGUAGCGGUGAAAUGCUUAGAUAUCACGAAGAACCCCGAUUGCGAAGGCAGCUUACUAAACUGUGACUGACAUUGAGGCUCGAAAGCGUGGGUAUCAAACAGGAUUAGAUACCCCAGUAGUC
rnacentral:rRNA from 1 species